rnacentral:ncRNA from 1 species
ACCGUGAGGUUCAGGCGAGAAGAAGGGAUAGCGAAAUCGUAGCCUGACGAACAGAAACCUGAUACCAAGGCGCAUUAAGCGGAUAAGUUAGCAAAAGGCAACGAAGUCCAAAAGGUAACCGUAACCUUAAUGUUGUAAAUCAGGCAUGUAGACGAGGAAAGAGAA